rnacentral:pre_miRNA from 1 species
CCUCUGACGGCUGGCCAGGCCCAGACUGGACUGGGCAAGUAUCUCUUCAAAAGGCUCACCCUGAAUCAUGACUAAGAAU